rnacentral:rRNA from 2 species
GGAUUUAUUGGGCGUAAGCGAGCGCAGGCGGUUUUUUAAGUCUGAUGUGAAAGCCUUCGGCUCAACCGAAGAAGUGCAUCGGAAACUGGGAAACUUGAGUGCAGAAGAGGACAGUGGAACUCCAUGUGUAGCGGUGAAAUGCGUAGAUAUAUGGAAGAACACCAGUGGCGAAGGCGGCUGUCUGGUCUGUAACUGACGCUGAGGCUCGAAAGUAUGGGUAGCAAACAGGAUUAGAUACCCUGGUAGUCCAUACCGUAAACGAUGAAUGCUAAGUGUUGGAGGGUUUCCGCCCUUCAGUGCUGCAGCUAACGCAUUAAGCAUUCCGCCUGGGGAGUACGGCCGCAAGGCUGAAACUCAAAGGAAUUGACGGGGGCCCGCACAAGCGGUGGAGCAUGUGGUUUAAUUCGAAGCUACGCGAAGAACCUUACCAGGUCUUGACAUACUAUGCAAAUCUAAGAGAUUAGACGUUCCCUUCGGGGACAUGGAUACAGGUGGUGCAUGGUUGUCGUCAGCUCGUGUCGUGAGAUGUUGGGUUAAGUCCCGCAACGAGCGCAACCCUUAUUAUCAGUUGCCAGCAUUAAGUUGGGCACUCUGGUGAGACUGCCGGUGACAAACCGGAGGAAGGUGGGGAUGACGUCAAAUCAUCAUGCCCCUUAUGACCUGGGCUACACACGUGCUACAAUGGAUGGUACAACGAGUUGCGAACUCGCGAGAGUAAGCUAAUCUCUUAAAGCCAUUCUCAGUUCGGAUUGUAGGCUGCAACUCGCCUACAUGAAGUCGGAAUCGCUAGUAAUCGCGGAUCAGCAUGCCGCGGUGAAUACGUUCCCGGGCCUUGUACACACCGCCCGUCACACCAUGAGAGUUUGUAACACCCAAAGUCGGUGGGGUAACCUUUUAGGAACCAGCCGCCUANNUGGGACAGAUGANUAGGGUGAA